rnacentral:tRNA from 2 species
GCUCCAGUGGCGCAAUGGCAGCGCAGCCGAUUUGUAAUCGGCAGGUUAUAGGUUCGAAUCCUAUCUGGAGCU